AGUCACUGACAUUAGAUACCCGGGUAGUCCCAGCCGUAAACAAUGUGCGUUAGGUGUGUCGGUAACCACGCGUUACUGAUGCGCCGAAGAGAAAUCGUGAAACGCACCACCUGGGAAGUACGGUCGCAAGGCUGAAACUUAAAGGAAUUGGCGGGGGAGCACCACAACAGGUGGAGCCUGCGGUUUAAUUGGACUCAACGCCGGAAAUCUCACCGGAUAAGACAGCAGAAUGAUUGCCGGGCUGAAGACUCUGCAUGACUAGCUG
rnacentral:rRNA from 1 species